rnacentral:rRNA from 1 species
CAGCCGCCGCGGUAAUACGAAGGGGGCUAGCGUUGUUCGGAAUUACUGGGCGUAAAGGGAGCGUAGGCGGAUCGUUAAGUUGGGGGUGAAAGCCCGGGGCUCAACCUCGGAAUUGCCUUCAAUACUGGCGAUCUUGAGUAUGGAAGAGGUAUGUGGAACUCCGAGUGUAGAGGUAAAAUUCGUAGAUAUUCGGAAGAACACCAGUGGCGAAGGCGACAUACUGGUCCAUUACUGACGCUGAGGCUCGAAAGCGUGGGGAGCAAACAGGAUUAGAAACCCCGGUAGUCCCUGUCUCUUAUAC